rnacentral:miRNA from 1 species
GCACUCACUUGGAUUUUUCAAACGUGUAUUAACAGUCUUAACACAAAUCUACAUCAACGUUUCGAACCUUCAUCUUGAUAAAGACCCUGAAGGGUCGAAACGUUGAUGUAGAUUUGUGUUAAGACUGUUAAUACAUGUUUGAAAAAUCCACGUGAGUGC